UGAAAACAUAUAAUGAUUUCCCAAAAAUAUUAAGCAGUACAACUGUUUCGACAUUGAUAAUACUACGAAAUGCUUCUUGAGCACCAAAUCAGCAUAUUAGAGAGAUUUCUGAAGGAUCACUGGAAUAAUGAUGCUGAAAAUUCAGCUUUGCCAUCAUAGGAAUAAAUUACAUUUAAAAUAUAUUCAAAUAAGAAAUGUAUAAUAAAUCUAAUAAUAUUUGCACCAUAUUACUGUUUUUACUCUUUGAUUAAAUAAAUUUAGCCUUGGUGACUAUAACAGACUUCUUUGAAAACAUACACUUUAGAACUUUAGAAUGGCAUAUGUUGGUACAAUUUGUCGUGGAGCAAACUAUAAGAUUAUUGGUCUAUUUCUGAACAUUUUUUAUUUGCUUAAAUUUUCAGGAUAUGACCGGACUCUGUCAGGUUAUCAUGUUUGUAAUAUGACUGAGUCUGUGUCAGAGACCCAUUUGAUCUCCUAUCCAACCUCGUACACCCAGAGGAAACCGUGUGGUGGCUGGCUGCCAUGGACAAUGUGUGAUGUCACAGUUUAUAAGACAGAAUACCGAACACAGGUGUAUGACAUGUCCAAACAGGUCAUGAAAUGCUGUCAUGGCUAUGAACAAGUUGGGACUUACUGUGCCUUGUCCGUGGACAGAAGUGCAGAAUUCACAUCCAAGCCAGGACGGUGUCCCCCAACAAGAGCAACAGGGUCUCUGUAUAAUAAUUCAAACUCCUCUGGCUCUGUGUGCAACUGGGACAUUGAUUGUCCUCAGUGGCAAAAAUGCUGCCUGAUCGAAAACACCUCCUCCAUCUCUCAGUGCGCAGACCCCAUGCCAUCAGGUAUAAACAAACCCAUACAACAUUCUCAUAGGCAUGCACAUUGUUAAAUAACUUACAAUGGGCUUAAAAAGCCAAUUUUUCUCCAAGUCAACAGAACCUGGUGCUUCAAUGUGACAAUAACAGUUAAGACAACCUAUGAGCUACUUACCAUGAACAAAGGACUUUUCAACCACUCUAGACUGCUGCACUCUGUGGUAACUGGCGCUCUGGGUAUUGAUCGAAUUUCUGUGCAUCAUGUCUGGUCAAAAUCGGCAGGGCCCUUCACAACCUCUUCCUCACUGCUGGUUUGUUCUUCUAAAGUUAUCUUACUACAAGACAUCUCUACAAAACUGUAUCUGCUGGGAAUCAUUGAGGAGGUGACUAAUUUGGUGGUGCAAGAUGUGGAUGAAUGUGCAGCUCCGCAGCUCAACAGUUGUUUUCCACAUGCAAACUGCACGAAUACAGUAGGGUCUUAUAUAUGCACCUGCCCUCCUGGGUAUCACGACCUCAGUCCUUCACAGCCAGGAACAGUUUGCAUGGACCCCAGUGUCAAUACACAACCUCCACCACCAACCACCACCACCCCAUCCUGGACUACUCACUCUCAACCACCACCAACCACCGCCACCCCAUCCUGGACUACUCACUCUCAACCACCACCAACCACCACCACCCCAUCCUGGACUACUCACUCUCAACCACCACCAACCACCACCACCCCAUCCUGGACUACUCACUCUCAACCACCACCAACCACCGCCACCCCAUCCUGGACUACUCACUCUCAACCACCACCAACCACCACCACCCCAUCCUGGACUACUCACUCUCUACCACCACCAACCACCACCACCCCAUCCUGGACUACUCACUCUCAACCACCACCAACCACCACCACCCCAUCCUGGACUACUCACUCUCUACCACCACCAACCACCACCACCCCAUCCUGGACUACUCACUCUCUACCACCACCAACCACCACCACCCCAUCCUGGACUACUCACUCUCUACCACCACCAACCACCACCACCCCAUCCUGGACUACUCACUCUCUACCACCACCAACCACCACCACCCCAUCCUGGACUACUCACUCUCAACCACCACCAACCACCUCCACACCAUCCUGGACUACUCACUCUCAACCACCACCAACCACCUCCACACCAUCCUGGACUACUCACUCUCAACCACCACCAACCACCUCCACACCAUCCUGGACUACUCACUCUCAACCACCACCAACCACCACCACCCCAUCCUGGACUACUCACUCUCAACCACCACCAACCACCACCACCCCAUCCUGGACUACUCACUCUCUACCACCACCAACCACCACCACCCCAUCCUGGACUACUCACUCUCAACCACCACCAACCACCACCACCCCAUCCUGGACUACUCACUCUCUACCACCACCAACCACCACCACCCCAUCCUGGACUACUCACUCUCUACCACCACCAAACACCACCACCCCAUCCUGGACUACUCACUCUCUACCACCACCAACCACCACCACCCCAUCCUGGACUACUCACUCUCUACCACCACCAAACACCACCACCCCAUCCUGGACUACUCACUCUCUACCACCACCAACCACCACCACCCCAUCCUGGACUACUCACUCUUCACCAGGUACACAAGAAUAA
rnacentral:lncRNA from 1 species